GAUAGUCAUAUAUAUAUAAAAUAUAAUAAAAUUAAAACUCUUAACUUGACUAUAUAACAUGUUGGGCAGUAGAUAGGCGCAAAAGGUUAAAAGAGUUAAUCGUGCUAGAACUAAAAUAAUUCUAGGAUAGAUGACCUCCCUGUAAAGUGGGACGAAUCGAUUAAGUGUGCUAGAAGUGAAGUAAUUUUAGAAUGGAUGACUCUCUAGAAAAGUAAAGCAAGUUGGCUAAAAAAUCCGGUUAUAAUAUAUUGGGUCUUAAAAAGGUUAAGCGUGCUAGAACUGAAAUACUUUUCGGAUGGAUGACCUUCCGGAAAGUAAGGCGGGUCGGUUAAGAUUAGUAAGACAAGUCUCAAAUUGUUAGGUGGCUAAACUAUUUUGGGUGAUGGUUAGAUCCAAAGGAUGCUGGGGCUAU
rnacentral:lncRNA from 1 species